CAGAAGUCGAGCAUCUCCUUCCACGAGUC
rnacentral:sRNA from 1 species